rnacentral:rRNA from 1 species
GACGAACGCUGGCGGCGUGCUUUACACAUGCAAGUCGAACGGUGAAGGUGGAGCUUGCUCCGCCGGAUCAGUGGCGAACGGGUGAGUAACACGUGGGCAACCUGCCCCUAACUUUGGGAUAACUACUCGAAAGAGUAGCUAAUACCGGAUACGAAGCCUGUAGGCAUCUACGGAUUUGGAAAGUUUUUCGGUUAGGGAUGGGCCCGCGGCCUAUCAGCUUGUUGGUGAGGUAGUGGCUCACCAAGGCGACGACGGGUAGCCGGCCUGAGAGGGCGACCGGCCACACGGGGACUGAGACACGGCCCAGACUCCUACGGGAGGCAGCAGUGGGGAAUAUUGCGCAACGGGCGAAAGCCUGACGCAGCAACGCCGCGUGCGGGAUGAAGGCCUUCGGGUUGUAAACCGCUUUCAGCAGGGAAGAAGCGAAAGUGACGGUACCUGCAGAAGAAGCACCGGCUAACUACGUGCCAGCAGCCGCAGUAA